AUCUUUUUAGGCCACAGAAUUGAUGUGUUGGCUAAACCCAGACAACUUCAUCCACUGUACAGAGAAAAUAGACGAUCGGUCUAUUGGGUGGACAAGGAGCCGCUAAAGCCUGGCCCAGAUGGAACUACAGCAGUUGAUGCCUCACCAAGAGUCCUGGAGUUGUCUCGCCAUAAGACUGCAGAUGGAUGGCAUCCUGACAGACCUUCUGCCUCCUGGCCA
rnacentral:sRNA from 1 species